AGGCGUGUAGCACAAGUGGUUAGUGCAGGUCGUUGAUAUCGGCCCUAUCUAGGUUCGAGUCCUGGCACGCCUA
rnacentral:tRNA from 1 species